rnacentral:rRNA from 1 species
GAAGAGGAUGGGCAUGCGGCGCAUUAGCUAGACGGCGGGGUAACGGCCCACCGUGGCGACGAUGCGUAGGGGUUCUGAGAGGAAGGUCCCCCACACUGGUACUGAGACACGGACCAGACUCCUACGGGAGGCAGCAGUGAGGAAUAUUGGUCAAUGGGAGAGAUCCUGAACCAGCCAAGCCGCGUGAGGGAAGACGGCCCUAUGGGUUGUAAACCUCUUUUGUCGGAGAACAAAACCCGGGACGAGUCCCGGACUGCGUGUAUCCGAAGAAAAAGCAUCGGCUAACUCCGUGCCAGCAGCCGCGGUAAUACGGAGGAUGCGAGCGUUAUCCGGAUUUAUUGGGUUUAAAGGGUGCGUAGGCGGUCCGUUAAGUCAGCGGUAAAAUUGCGGGGCUCAACCCCGUCGAGCCGUUGAAACUGGCAGACUUGAGUUGGCGAGAAGUACGCGGAAUGCGCGGUGUAGCGGUGAAAUGCAUAGAUAUCGCGCAGAACUCCGAUUGCGAAGGCAGCGUACCGGCGCCACACUGACGCUGAGGCACGAAAGCGUGGGGAUCGAACAGGAUUAGAUACCCUGGUAGUCCACGCAGUAAACGAUGAAUGCUGGUUGUCCGGGUCGAAUGAGAUCUGG